rnacentral:rRNA from 1 species
AUACGGAGGAUGCAAGCGUUAUCCGGAUUCAUUGGGUUUAAAGGGUGCGCAGGCGGAACUAUAAGUCAGUGGUUGAAAGCCUACAGCUCAACUGUAGAAUUGCCAUUGAUACUGUAAUUCUUGAGUAUAUUUGGAGUGGGCGGAAUGUAUCAUGUAGCGGUGAAAUGCUUAGAUAUGAUACAGAACACCAAUCGCGAAGGCAGCUCACUAAACUAUAACUGACGCUCAUGCACGAAAGCGUGGGGAUC